UACGUAGGGGGCAAGCGUUGUCCGGAUUUAUUGGGCGUAAAGCGCGUGUAGGCGGCCAGGUAGGUCCGCUGUGAAAACCCGAGGCUCAACCUCGGGACGUCGGCGGAAACCAUCUGGCUAGAGUUCGGAAGAGGCGAGUGGAAUUCCCGGUGUAGCGGUGAAAUGCGCAGAUAUCGGGAGGAACACCAAUGGCGAAGGCAGCUCGCUGGGACGUUACUGACGCUGAGACGCGAAAGCGUGGGGAGCAAACAGG
rnacentral:rRNA from 1 species